rnacentral:rRNA from 1 species
AUUCCAGCUCCAAUAGCGUAUAUUAAAGUUGUUGCAGUUAAAAAGCUCGUAGUUGGAUGUUGGGUUCUAGUUAUGUUCGGUCUCUUCUAGAGUACUGUCAUGCUGGCCCUUUUUCUCGAGGCCUAUAGGUGCACUUAACCGUGUGUUUAUAGUGUUCGGGACUUUUACCGUGAGAAAAUUAGAGUGUUCAUAGCAGGCUAGUGCUUGAAUAUUACAGCAUGGAAUAAUGGAAUAGGAUCAUGAUCUUAUUUUGUUGGUUUCUAAGAUUAAGAUAAUGAUUAAUAGGGAUAGUUGGGGGCAUUAGUAUUUAAUUGUCAGAGGUGGAAUUCUCAGAUUUGUUAAAGACUAACUUAUGCGAAAGCAUUUGCCAAGGAUGUUUUCAUCA